rnacentral:misc_RNA from 1 species
UGGUGUACGUGGCAUGGGACG